rnacentral:rRNA from 1 species
CCUACGGGAGGCAGCAGUGAGGAAUAUUGGUCAAUGGUCGGGAGACUGAACCAGCCAAGCCGCGUGAGGGAGGAAGGUACAGAGUAUCGUAAACCUCUUUUGUCAGGGAACAAAGGCGGGGACGUGUCCCCGGAUGAGUGUACCUGAAGAAAAAGCAUCGGCUAACUCCGUGCCAGCAGCCGCGGUAAUACGGAGGAUGCGAGCGUUAUCCGGUUUUAGUGGGUUUAAAGGGUGAGCAGGCGGUUUGUUAAGUCAGCGGUCAAAGCCCGGGGCUCAACCCCGGCCCGCCGUUGAAACUGGCAGUCUCGAGUUGGAGCGAAGUAUGCGGAAUGCGCGGUGUAGCGGUGAAAUGCAGAGAUAUCGCGCAGAACUACGAUUGCGAAGGCAGCAUGCCGGCUCCACACUGACGCUGAGGCACGAAAGCGUGGGUAUCGAACAGGAUUAGAUACCCGAGUAGUC